rnacentral:rRNA from 1 species
GAUGAACGCUGGCGGCGUGCUUAACACAUGCAAGUCGAACGGAAAGGCCCAAGCUUGCUUGGGUACUCGAGUGGCGAACGGGUGAGUAACACGUGGGUGAUCUGCCCUGCACUUCGGGAUAAGCCUGGGAAACUGGGUCUAAUACCGGAUAGGACCGCAUUUUGGAUGGUGUGGUGGAAAGUUUUUCGGUGUGGGAUGAGCUCGCGGCCUAUCAGCUUGUUGGUGGGGUAAUGGCCUACCAAGGCGUCGACGGGUAGCCGGCCUGAGAGGGUGUACGGCCACAUUGGGACUGAGAUACGGCCCAGACUCCGACGGGAGGCAGCAGUGGGGAAUAUUGCACAAUGGGCGCAAGCCUGAUGCAGCGACGCCGCGGGGGGGAUGACGGCCUUCGGGUUGUAAACUCCUUUCGCUAGGGACGAAGCGUUAUGUGACGGUACCUGGAGAAGAAGCACCGGCUAACUACGUG